rnacentral:misc_RNA from 1 species
CUUGGUCAUAGGAAGUAAAAGUCGUAACAAGGUUUCCGUAGGUGAACCUGCGGAAGGAUCAUUAUCAUUACGUAGGGGCCUGCGUUCCGGUGCGGGCCCCCUCGUGUAAACCCAUCCGUGUACCUUUCCCGUUGCCUCCGUGGGUGCCGUCGGCUCCCGCGGGGGGUCAUAGAGAAAACUAUUUUUUUGCUUCUUCAUGCCAUCAUGUCUGAACGUAACCGAAUGAAAUAAAGAUUAAAACUUUCAACAACGGAUCUCUUGGUUCUC